GCUGCUACAUAGUAAUGGAAUAUACACAUGCUACUAUGCCUCUGUAAUCAUGGAAUGCAUGAACAUAGCAAUGAUAUUCUACUAAUCAUGAUACUAUGCUUCAACAAUAAUAGAAAUGAGCUACUACAUAGUGAUGUAUCUACAACAUGCUACUAUGUCUCAAUGUCAACUCAAGGUAUGAAUGCAAAUCUGCUAUGCCAUUCAUAUUCUUUACCCAAUCUGCUUGGAAAUGAGCUACUACAUAGUGAUGUAUCUGCACAUGCUACUAUGCCUCAAUAAUCCGAAUGAACGAGCUACUACAUAGUGCGUCGUGCAACUAUGCCUCGAUAGUAUCCAAUCUCAUGGCCAACCCGAAGGUUGCCACCCCGGGGUCAACCCC
rnacentral:lncRNA from 1 species